rnacentral:rRNA from 1 species
CCUACGGGAUGCAGCAGUAGGGAAUCUUCCACAAUGGACGAAAGUCUGAUGGAGCAACGCCGCGUGAGUGACGAAGGGUUUCGGCUCGUAAAGCUCUGUUGGUAGUGAAGAAAGAUAGAGGUAGUAACUGGCCUUUAUUGGACGGUAAUUACUUAGAAAGUCACGGCUAACUACGUGCCAGCAGCCGCGGUAAUACGUAGGUGGCAAGCGUUGUCCGGAUUUAUUGGGCGUAAGGCGAGUGCAGGCGGUUCAAUAAGUCUGAUGUGAAAGCCUUCGGCUCAACCGGAGAAUUGCAUCAGAAACUGUUGAACGUGAGUGCAGAAGAGGAGAGUGGAACUCCAUGUGUAGCGGUGGAAUGCGUAGAUAUAUGGAAGAACACCAGUGGCGAAGGCGGCUCUCUGGUCUGCAACUGACGCUGAGGCUCGAAAGCAUGGGUAGCGAACAGGAUUAGAUACCCGAGUAGUC